rfam:Ciona savignyi cont_35701, whole genome shotgun sequence.
AGCUUUGCGCAGUGGCAGUAACAUAGCUGAUGAGGUUCAUCCGAGGCGUGUUUAUUGCUAGUUGAAAACUAUACCCAAUACCCCGCCCUGUGGACGUAUAAACCGUUCGCUGUGGCAAUUUUUGAUGGGUUCCCCGGAAC